GUCGCUGAUAUUUGAUGAUCCUAUCAAAUAUUUCCUAUUUUUGGAGUAGGGUGUACAUACCAUGAUUUGUGUCCUACCACGAGACCUACACACGGCGACAUUAGUCGGCAGGGAUUGGUGAUCCACUCUGCAAGGCGGCUUUGCGACGUGAUGAUCAUUUUCCAUCCAGAGAUUCAUGAUCGACAUGUAUAGCGACCGAUUUCCCUUCCUCCUACUCAGCCUGGGACUCCUUCUGGCGCAAAUUUUACAUGGUGCUCUUGGAAUAACUGUAGAAAAUAGCCUUAGUAAUUCACGUCCACGCCUCGGCGGAACGAUAACGCUGAAGUGUAACAUUGUUAUUGGGACCGCCAAGAGUGUUUCAUGGUACAAGGACAAAACUGGAAACAUCAAUCAAAUAAUUUAUUUGACGCAAAAUUGUAGUGUUUUCGCAGACAAGUAUAAAUCAAGAUUAAAAAACGUUCAGUGUGAUACGCAUAAUUAUAAUUUUCAAUUAAGUGAUGUUCAAAUUUCGGACAGCGGGGAGUGGCUGUGUGAGGCAGAUGGAGAAGUGGCCGAACCACCGCUGAAAUUAGAUG